rnacentral:lncRNA from 13 species
CACAGAUCUUGACCCACGCAUCACUGGCCCUCUCAGUGCUCUGAGAGUGACUGAGCAGUGCCAGUAUUUAUAACCUGGAAGGUAGCAACACCUGCUUUUGUAGACUGCCUCCCAAGAUUCAGGACUCAUGGGGAGCAACAAGCACCUGAGUGCUCAGAAACUGGAAAAUAGGGGAUCUGAUUCAAUCUGACAUCCUUUUCAUAUGGCCGCCAAACUGUCAGCCUCUUCUCUAGUACAUCUUCCGUACCAGAAUUCCAGGAUUGCACAGGAAACAAAAAGAAAGCUCUGAUACAUGUUAUCUAUCCUAACAAAAGACAUCCUUAUUGACCAGGCCGUUAAAAGCAAAAUUUAUGCCAAAUUAAAUUUAAAGGAGUUUAAUUGAGCAAUGAAAGAUUCGUGAAUUGGGCAGCCCCCCAGAAUCACAGCAGAUUCAGAGACUCCAUGGAUGCCUCAUGGUCAGAACAAAUUUAUUGACAAAAAAAAAAGGAAUUGAUAUACAGAAAUCAGCAGCAAGGUAUAGAAACAGCUGAAUUGGUUCCAGACUGAUGUUUGCCUUAUUUGAACAUAGUUUGAACACUUGGCAGUGUAUGAAGGAUUGAAGUAUGGCUGCUAAGAUUGGCCGAGACUCAGCUAUUGUUACAGGGCAUACUCCUAAAUUAGGGUUUCAAUCUUGUCAGCCUUUUAAGUUAGAUUGCGGGUCUUCCACAAGGACUCAGAUAUAGAAAUACGGAGUCCUUCUCAGACCAUAUUUAGUUCAUUAUGUGAAUAACAUACUGCAUUCCAUUAAGAGAUCCGUGCUCUGAAGAAAUUUUAAAAGUGAAAAAAACCUUUCACAUCUGGACAGCACAUCUUUGAAAUGCAACGUGAGAGACUAUUCCCCAGGAGACGGAAACAUAUUUAUAAUCUCCAAGUUAUAGUUGGUCUGUCCAGUGUUGAAAGUGGAAUAUUGAGCUUUGUGUGGUGGCCGCUGUCGGGCUUCGGCUUCCAGUCCACCAAAGGCAAGGCACUGUGGACAGCGGCCCCGGCAUCCAGCGCCCAGCCUUCCGCAAGGCACGCGCCCCUUCGGUGCGCCCCGAACCCGCCGCUUCCCGUCUCAGUGCCCUGCCGCUGCCACGGCCCAGCGAGCGGCCCAGAUGCAGGCCAUCAGGUGUGUGGUGGUGGGAGACAGAGCUGUAGGUAA